rnacentral:rRNA from 1 species
GUGGAUUAGAUACCCUGGUAGUCCACGCCCUAAACGAUGUCAACUAGGUGUUGGAGGAGCAAUCCUUUGGUACCGCAGCUAACGCGUGAAGUUGACCGCCUGGGGAGUACGGUCGCAAGAUUAAAACUCAAAGGAAUUGACGGGGACCCGCACAAGCGGUGGAUGAUGUGGAUUAAUUCGAUGCAACGCGAACAACCUUACCUACCCUUGACAUGUCUGGAAUCCUGCUGAAAGGCGGGAGUGCCCGAAAGGGAACCGGAACACAGGUGCUGCACGGUCGUCGUCAACU